ACCUGCCCGGGGCGCAUCGCGCCUCCGGGUGAAAGACAAGAGACACCGUGCCCGGGAAGAAAUGGGCACAUCAGGGCGUU
rnacentral:sRNA from 22 species